AGCAGUGUGGCUUAGUGGCAAGAGCUUGGGCUUGGGUGUCUGAGGAUGUGGGUUCCAAUCCCACAUCUGCCA
rnacentral:tRNA from 1 species